CCGCGCAGCCGGGGAGAUAGCGGUGCCCUGUACCUGCAAUCCGCUACAGCAGGGGUGAUGGCGCGCCUAGGGUGAUGCUCUGUGGAGCCGCCCCCUGUAAGCGAUGUUGACGUUUGGGUCUUACGCAAUGGGAAUCUAUGAACCGUGUCAGGGCAGGAAUGCAGCAGCACUAAGUGGACACUUCCAUGUGCCGUGAGGGAGCCUGGACCGAGUUGGCUGCAGGGGUAACGUCUGUGGGGGUCAUUCGAAGCGGGUCGCGCGG
rnacentral:SRP_RNA from 1 species